rnacentral:rRNA from 1 species
GACGAACGCUGGCGGCGUGCUUAACACAUGCAAGUCGAACGGAAAGGCCCUGCUUUUGUGGGGUGCUCGAGUGGCGAACGGGUGAGUAACACGUGAGUAACCUGCCCUUGACUUUGGGAUAACUUCAGGAAACUGGGGCUAAUACCGGAUAGGAGCUCCUGCUGCAUGGUGGGGGUUGGAAAGUUUCGGCGGUUGGGGAUGGACUCGCGGCUUAUCAGCUUGUUGGUGGGGUAGUGGCUUACCAAGGCUUUGACGGGUAGCCGGCCUGAGAGGGUGACCGGCAACAUUGGGACUGAGAUACGGCCCAGACUGCAACGGGAGGCAGCAGUGGGGAAUAUUGCACAAUGGGCGGAAGCCUGAUGCAGCAACGCCGCGUGCGGGAUGACGGCCUUCGGGUUGUAAACCGCUUUCGCCUGUGACGAAGCGUGAGUGACGGUAAUGGGUAAAGAAGCACCGGCUAACUACGUG